UGAGUGCAGAAGAGGAAAGUGGAAUUCCAUGUGUAGCGGUGAAAUGCGCAGAGAUAUGGAGGAACWCCAGUGGGGAAGGCGMCUUUUUGGUCUGUAACUGACGYUGAUGUGCGAAAGCGUGGGGAUCAAACAGGAUUAGAUACCCUGGUAGUCCACSCCGUAAACGAUGAGUGCUAAGUGUUAGGGGGUUUCCGCCCCUUAGUGCUGCAGUUAACGCAUUAAGCACUCCSCCUGGGGAGUACGWCCSCAAGGUUGAAAUUCAAAGGAAUUGACGGGGACCCGCCCAAGCGGUGGAGCAUGUGGUUUAAUUGGAAGCAACGGGAAGACCCUUMCCAAAUCUUGACAUCCUUUGACCKCUCUAGAGAUAGAGUUUUCCCYUUSGGGGGACAAAGYGACAGGUGGUGCAUGGUUGUCGUCAGCUCGU
rnacentral:rRNA from 1 species